rnacentral:rRNA from 1 species
AUUGAACGCUGGCGGCAGGCUUAACACAUGCAAGUCGAGCGAGCGGCGGACGGGUGAGUAAUGUCUGGGAAACUGCCUGAUGGAGGGGGAUAACUACUGGAAACGGUAGCUAAUACCGCAUACCAUCAGAUGUGCCCAGAUGGGAUUAGCUAGUAGGUGGGGUAAGGGCUCACCAAGGCGACGAUCCCUAGCUGGUCUGAGAGGAUGACAAGCCACACUGGAACUUAGACACGGUCCAGACUCCGACGGUAGGCAGCAGUGGGGAAUAUUGCACAAUGGGCGCAAGCCUGAGGCAGCCAUGCCGGGUGUGUGAAGAAGGCCUUCGGGUGGUAAAGCACUUUCAUCGAGGAGGCGUUACUCGCAGAAGAAGCACCGGCUAACUCCGUGGCAGCAGCCGCGGUAAUAC